CGAGUGCCGAACGGGUGAGUAAUACAUCGCGAACGUGCCCUGUAGCGCGGGAUAACUAGUCGAAAGAUUAGCUAAUCCCGCAUACGACCUGACGGUCAAAGUGGGGGACCGCAAGGCCUCAUGCUAUACGACCGGCCGAUGUCUGAUUAGCUAGUUGGCGAGGUAAAUCGCUCACCAAGGCGACGAUCAGUCGCUGGUCUGAGAGGACGAUCAGCCACACUGGCACUGAGACACGGCCCAGACUCCUACGGGAGGCAGCAGUGGGGAAUUUUGGACAAUGGGGGCAACCCUGAUCCAGCAAUGCCGCGUGUGUGAACAAGGCCUUCGGGUUGUAAAGCACUUUUGUCCGGAAAGAAAUCGCACCUACUAAUAUUAGGUGUGGAUGACGGUACCGGAAGAAUAAGGACCGGCUAACUACGUGCCAGCAGCCGCGGUAAUACGUAGGGUCCAAGCGUUAAUCGGAAUUACUGGGCGUAAAGCGUGCGCAGGCGGUUGUGCAAGACCGAUGUGAAAUCCCCGGGCUUAACCUGGGAAUUGCAUUGGUGACUGCACGGCUAGAGUGUGUCAGAGGGGGGUAGAAUUCCACGUGUAGCAGUGAAAUGCGUAGAGAUGU
rnacentral:rRNA from 1 species